rnacentral:rRNA from 1 species
UGACCUAAGACAUGCAAGUCGAACGAGAUCGGCCACAGAGUUUAAGAAGGAAAACAGAGUGCUUGACACGAAGUUAGUAAUUUUGAUGACGUGGAAUUCCAUCUAGUGGCAAACGGGUGAAUAACACGUGGGUAACCUACCUCUAAGUUGGGGAUAACAGUUGGAAACGACUGAUAAUACCGAAUAAGCUCUACGGAGUAAAGAAGCCAUUAAGCUUUGCUAAGAGAUGGGCCUGCGGCGUAUUAGCUAGUUGGUGGGGUAAGAGCCUACCAAGGCGACGAUGCGUAGCCGAACUGAGAGGUUGAUCGGCCACACUGGGACUGAGACACGGCCCAGACUCCUACGGGAGACAGCAGUUAGGAAUAUUCGUCAAUGGGAGGAACCCUGAACGAGCAAUGCCGCGUGAAUGAAGAAGGCCCUAUGGGUUGUAAAAUUCUGUUGUAUGGAAAGAAAUGUAAAGUUAGGAAAUGAACUUUACUUGACGGUACCAUUCAAGAAAGCCACGGCUAACUACGUG